AAGAUGUGUUGGGGCCUGACCUUGCACUUUGGGAGGUGACUGUGCUGGAAAACUGUGGUCGAAGGAACCAGAUCACACAGGAGCGAGGUGGCCCCAGCUCAAAAGGACUACUGUCAGACACAGGCAUAAUAUCACGUGGAGAGGGCCCGCUGUACCACAUGGCGUCACCAGCCAGCAUGAGCCAGGCCAUGCAUCCUGUCGCUGGCUCCCUGGGCGUCCACCAAGCAUGGAGGAGAAGUGGAAAGGAGAAAAGAGAAGCAUGAGACCCUACAAUUAAAGCGGCGGUUGUUUAUCACAGCAGAGCUCUGCUGCCAACGCCAGCCGCCAUCGCAUCUCCGGCUGCCGGCUCCCCCCGAGUGUUUAUUUAAGCCAACACAUUGCUCUGCUAAUUGGAUAACAUUCUAUGUGAAAAUAGGCCUUUUAAAACAACAGUGUCGGUGGCUAAAACAGCUGCAACCACAAAAGUACAAAGGAGCGUGGCUCAGGAGGGAGAAUUAAAGGCACCUCGUGUGGGGAACAAUUAA